GCGGAAUGCUUUACACAAGCAAGUCAAACGGCAGCACGGGAGCUUGCUCCUGGUGGCGAGUGGCGAACGGGUGAGUAACAUAUCGGAACGUACCCAGUCGUGGGGGAUAACUAUCCGAAAGGAUAGCUAAUACCGCAUACGUCCUGAGGGAGAAAGCGGGGGAUCGCAAGACCUCGCGCGAUUGGAGCGGCCGAUAUCGGAUUAGCUAGUUGGUGGGGUAAAGGCUCACCAAGGCGACGAUCCGUAGCGGGUCUGAGAGGACGACCCGCCACACUGGAACUGAGACACGGUCCAGACUCCUACGGGAGGCAGCAGUGGGGAAUUUCGGACAAUGGGGGCAACCCUGAUCCAGCCAUUCCGCGUGAGUGAAGAAGGCCUUCGGGUUGUAAAGCUCUUUCAGCAGGAACGAAACGGUCGGCUUUAAUAAAGUCGGCUAAUGACGGUACCUGCAGAAGAAGCACCGGCUAACUACGUGCCAGCAGCCGCGGUAAUACGUAGGGUGCGAGCGUUAAUCGGAAUUACUGGGCGUAAAGCGUGCGCAGGCGGCGACAUAAAACAGAUGUGAAAUCCCCGGGCUCAACCUGGGAACUUGCGUUUGUGACUGUGUUGCUAGAGUGUAACAAAGGGGGGUGGAAUUCCACGUGUANCAAUGAAAUGCGUAAAGAUGUGGAGGAACACCGAUGGCGAAGGCAGCCCCCUGGGGUAACACUGACGCUCAUGCACGAAAGCGUGGGGAGCAAACAGGAUUAGAUACCCUUGUUAUCCACGCCUUAAACGAUGCC
rnacentral:rRNA from 1 species